UUUCCGUAGGUGAACCUGCGGAAGGAUCAUUAUAGUACUACAUGAGAGGGGCAUGCGAUGGCUGUCCCUGACCCAAAAGUCGUGCACGCCCUCGUCUUUCCUCUUGUAUAAUCAUCCAUCUCACCCGUUGUGCAUCACCGCGUGGUCAACCUUCGGGGUCAGCCCGGAGGGGGUCACCCGUUUUCACACAAACCCUCCUUUUAAAAGUGUAAAAUUACGACAUUUAUUUAAUCAAUACAACUUUCAACAACGGAACUCUUGAAUCUCGCAGCAAUGAAG
rnacentral:misc_RNA from 1 species